AUACGGAGGGGGUUAGCGUUGUUCGGAAUUACUGGGCGUAAAGCGCACGUAGGCGGACUGGAAAGUUGGGGGUGAAAUCCCGGGGCUCAACCUCGGAACUGCCUCCAAAACUUCCAAUCUAGAGAUCGAGAGAGGUGAGUGGAAUGCCAAGUGUAGAGGUGAAAUUCGUAGAUAUUUGGAGGAACACCAGUGGCGAAGGCGGCUCACUGGCUCGAUACUGACGCUGAGGUGCGAAAGCGUGGGGAGCAAACAGGAUUAGAAACCCGGGUAGUCC
rnacentral:rRNA from 1 species